rnacentral:rRNA from 1 species
UACGUAGGGCGCAAGCGUUGUCCGGAAUUAUUGGGCGUAAGAGCUCGUAGGCGGUUUGUCGCGUCUGCUGUGAAAACCUAAGGCUCAACCUUGGGCUUGCAGUGGGUACGGGCAGACUAGAGUGCGGUAGGGGUGACUGGAAUUCCUGGUGUAGCGGUGGAAUGCGCAGAUAUCAGGAGGAACACCGAUGGCGAAGGCAGGUCACUGGGCCGCAACUGACGCU